AUGGCACUCCUGGGGACAAGCGAGACAGGGACCCUCAGNNNNNNNNNNNNNNNNNNNNCACCGGGAACGGCGGCGCCUGCCGGGAACAAGAGGGGACAAAUCAGAGCUGGCUGCAGCAGGAGCUCAAAGGUGGGACCUGCCAGGGCUCUGUCUCAUCAUGUUCCCAGGAGAGCAGAGCAUCCACGGCCUCAUCCAGGAGAGACCCCAGCAGAGAACUCAGAUGAGUCCAAAGCCAUGAAUUGGGGCUCAAUGCUCACUUCCACAAGACAGCCUGGAGAAACCCCAGAGGGGGAGAAGGUCCUGCCCUGGAGAUGGAGCCAGGCCCAGCUGGGAGCAAACAGGAGCUGGGCUGAGCAUUCCCCAUUCCCCCUCAGGAGUGAUCCAGGGACACCCCGUGCCCCCCCAGUGUGUCAGGGUGGGCAGGGGUCCCAGGGCUGGGGUCCCACACAGCACGUACCAUACUUAGCUGCCUUUGCUGCUGCUGCUGCCGAUGGCACUCCUGGGGACAAGAGAGACAGGGACCCUCAGCCACCAUGGCCCCACAGAGCCGGGCCAUGGGGACAGGGCUCCUGGAACAGUCACCUGCCACCCCAGGGACACCUCCGACACCAGGCACCGCCCCGGGGACACCUCCAACGCCAGGAACCAAGCCAGGGACACCUCCGACUCCGGGCACCAGGCCGGGGACACCGCCCACACCGACACCGGGAACGGCGGCGCCUGCCGGGAACAAGAGGGGACAAAUCAGAGCUGGCUGCAGCAGGAGCUCAAAGGUGGGACCUGCCAAGGCUCUGUCUCGUCAUUGUGCCCAGGAGAGCAGAGCAUCCACGGCCUCAUCCAGGAGAGACCCCAGCGGGGAUCGGCCGCGUGACUCUGCCAGCGAUUGCCGGGAAGUCGCUGGCCCCAGCAGGGGACCGCAGUGACCCUCAUCCUCACAAGGGCCCAAGGUGCUCCCAGGUGCUCCUUGUCAUGGGGACAUCACGCCUGGCAGCCGGACAGGCCGCAGAGAGGUGGCUGUGUCCCCCCAGCAGGUGA
rnacentral:lncRNA from 1 species